UGCUUUAAGGAGAGUAUUAGCUCGGUGUGUUUCUCUCAAGGCUAAACAAUCGGCCCAUAACUUACCUUCGUACAAUGUCAACUCAUCUUUCUGUAAUAUAAUUAUGUGGAGCAUCUACCAUGCAACGCUUGAAUCAGUGAACAACCUAAAUCGUACAAUAUGUAAUAUAAUUAGCCUGCAUUAUAUCUGGAUUCCACACUUGUGUAAUAUAUUUAGGAUCCCUUCUAUUUCAAUUAUCAGUUUCCUCU